rnacentral:rRNA from 1 species
GACGAACGCUGGCGGCGUGCUUAACACAUGCAAGUCGAACGGAAAGGCCCCCUUGUGGGGUACUCGAGUGGCGAACGGGUGAGUAACACGUGAGUAACCUACCCUUGACUUUGGGAUAACUUCAGGAAACUGGGGCUAAUACCGGAUAGGAGCUCCUGCUGCAUGGUGGGGGUUGGAAAGUUUCGGCGGUUGGGGAUGGACUCGCGGCUUAUCAGCUUGUUGGUGGGGUAGUGGCUCACCAAGGCUUUGACGGGUAGCCGGCCUGAGAGGGUGACCGGCCACAUUGGGACUGAGAUACGGCGCAGACUCCUACGGGAGGCAGCAGUGGGGAAUAUUGCACAAUGGGCGGAAGCCUGAUGCAGCAACGCCGCGUGCGGGAUGACGGCCUUCGGGUUGUAAACCGCUUUCGCCUGUGACGAAGCGUGAGUGACGGUAAUGGGUAAAGAAGCACCGGCUAACUACGUG